ACUCGCCUACGGGGGGCAGCAGUGAGGAAUAUUGGUCAAUGGGCGCAAGCCUGACCCAGCAACGCCGCGUGAAGGAAGAAGGCUUUCGGGUUGUAAACUUCUUUUAAGGGGGACGAACAAAUGACGGUACCCCUUGAAUAAGCCACGGCUAACUACGUGCCAGCAGCCGCGGUAAUGCGUAGGUGGCAAGCGUUAUCCGGAUUUAUUGGGUGUAAAGGGCGUGUAGGCGGGAGCGCAAGUCAGAUGUGAAAACUCAGGGCUCAACCCUGAGCCUGCAUUUGAAACUGUGUUACUUGAGUGCUGGG
rnacentral:rRNA from 1 species